rnacentral:lncRNA from 1 species
CAGAGGACCGACCUAGAAGAUCCACAGUCCUGAUUCAAUAUAAUGUCUUUGGAAGAGGUGACGGAUCUCAAACUGAAUUUGCUAGAGGCAAUUACAAACCAAUUUUCCGAGAAGCUCAGAAUCGGAAGUGGUGGCUAUGGAGAAGUUUACAGGGUAUGCUUAUGAGCUUUCUGUCGAUUCCGAGUGGCCACCUACUACUGGCUACUGCUAACAAUGCAUGCAUGUUCGGUAUUACUUUAUAGGGAUUGCUCAAUGGGUGUGAAAUUGCUGUGAAGAAGCUUUAUCUCAACAAUGCAUCACUCGAUGAUAAGAGUUUUACAAAUGAAUUUCGUCAACUUAUGAAGGUCCAGCAUGAAAACAUUAUACGGCUGAUUGGCUACUGCUAUGAGAUAAAACAUAAGCAUACUGAUUACGGGGGGCAACUUGUCUUCUCUCAAGUUAUAGACCGAGCUCUCUGUUUUGAAUACAUGCCGGAAGGAAGUCUUGCCAAGCAUAUUUCUGGUAUGAUGGCGGUCUAUCCUCAGUUCAGCUAUACUACUUGUCUUUGAUGAAUACGUACAUAAUAUUUUCCUUCUGGGCAGAUGAUUCUUGUAUACAUGAUUGGGCCACAACAUACAACAUAAUCAAAGGGACCUGUGAAGGCCUUCAUUAUCUUCAUAGAGGAAGAGGAGAGGGUGGGCAUAUUUACCAUCUAGACUUAAAACCGGAAAACAUAUUGUUGGACAAGGAUAUGGUUCCCAAAAUCACAGAUUUUGGUUUGUCGAGACUCUUUGGUGAAUCAAAGACCCACAAAACAAACACCCGUAUGGAAGGAACAUUGUAAGCUGAUGGUCUAGCAUGCAUGCAUAUAGUUCUUUAAUGCGCAUAAAUUCGUGUACUUGUAUUGCUAACGACUUGAAAAAUGCUUAUUGAUGUCAUAAAGAGGAUUCAUGGCACCAGAAUACAUAAAUGAGUGUGCGAUAUCACCAAAGAAUGACGUGUUCAGUCUAGGCGUUAUAAUUUUCUACCUAGUGGCUGGACGAAAGGGCUACGGCGAAUAUUGUGACUCACGGUCCUCUCCCCGGCAAGAAUUCAUUGAUAGAGUAAUUUGUUUUCAUAGAUAUUUUGUCUUGUAAUCUUGAAGCAUAAAUAUUAUAUGUGUUUGAGCUUACCCUACAUCGCAAUUUCUCAGGUACAAGAGUACUGGAAGCAAAGGAUGCGUGCAACGGCACACACCGGAUCGGACGAAACAAACCUANNN